GAACUUUCUACCAUUCUCUCGUUUGGCCGCAUCUAUUCUGUUGAUGGCUGGUUAACCUUUGAGCUUGUUGCAGAUCAAGAUGAGUUUUUUAUGAUUUCACUAGACAGGCAGCAAUUCUAAAGUCUUUAACACGUCGUUCAUAUUUCACAGUUUCUCUUAUCAAACUUGUUCAGGCAAAUUGGUUAGGAGAAUCAUAUAUUGGUUCCCUGGAAGCAUUUGAUGGGGAGUUAGUUUCCCUUUCGCCAAUGGGAUAUCUUUGAAUGUGGAUUUGUCAAAGGAAGAGAUGCAAAUUUUGGGCAGGCAGACAAAGAAGAACCCUUGCCUUAUUGGAGAGCCUGGUGUCGGGAUGAUAGAUAUUCCAGAAGGGCUAGCUCAACACAUUGCUAAUGGGGAUGUACCAGAGAUUAUUGAAGGAAAGAAGG